rnacentral:rRNA from 1 species
UGUCCUACGGGAGGCAGCAGUGGGGAAUAUUGCACAAUGGGGGAAACCCUGAUGCAGCGACGCCGCGUGAGUGAAGAAGUAUUUCGGUAUGUAAAGCUCUAUCAGCAGGGAAGAUAAUGACGGUACCUGACUAAGAAGCUCCGGCUAAAUACGUGCCAGCAGCCGCGGUAAUACGUAUGGAGCAAGCGUUAUCCGGAUUUACUGGGUGUAAAGGGAGCGCAGGCGGCGCGGUAAGUCUGAUGUGAAAGCCCGGGGCUCAACCCCGGGACUGCAUUGGAAACUGUCGUGCUGGAGUGUCGGAGGGG